UCCGGAUUGGUGUAGGGGUUAACAUUGCCGCCUCUCAGGAAAUUUAGGUUUAUGUAAACCCACUGGGUUCGCGGCAGCCCGGGGUUCGAUUCCCCGAUCCGGAA